CAUAUUGCAAGCUAUUUUCUUUCGUAAACCGAGUUACAUUGUUACUCAGAAUGGAUAUCUUACCUCUUAAUGAUGUUCUGCAUCAGGCAGUACAGGCCUGUUGAUGUGCCUACUGUUUGCAGUUGUUCUAUGUGCUAAUUUAUUGGUACACAGAUAUGCCUGGACCAUUGCUAAGGUAUUUUUUUCCUGACAAUUCAUGACGAGUGCAAACUUCACUGACCAGUUCAGUACUUAAUUAUAUUCUACUUUCCCUUUCUUGAGCCAAAGCACAUUAUCAUCGAGGAUAAUGGGAGCUUGUAUCAUGAUUUUUGCUUGACCAGAUAACUGAUAGCAAUAACUUUUCUUCUGUCGGCUCAGCAGGUUGACUGAAUGUUAAUCUGACCUUUUUAUAUCAACCAGUAUUUUGAUUUUUCAGUCAGUUUGAAUUCAUGAUGAGCAGCUUAUGUUUUGGUCAAGGGAUUUUGAUUGCUGCUUUAAGAGGCAGCUCAAUCAAUUUGGCAUUGCAUCCUUUGCUGGCAGCGCUUCUCUUCAUCCCAUUGAGGUCCAGAGGACGAUUCUGGCUCAAAAGACGUUUACAAAGUGAUCAUUCUGUCAAAUUCCAGAAGGCUGUUCCUCAUCAUUAUACUUAUACAGACCAAAUGGUGACUGGGGUCAGAUAUCAAAGAGAAGCAUCUCAAAGAAAAGAAUCUCACAAAAGCGGCACACAAAGGCACAAUAUAUACGCGAUAGGAAGUGGAAGUACCGCCGUUGAUUGGGAAACAUACAAAGAAGAUUGGGAAGCAUACAAAGAGGAUGACGAUUCUGCUACAUCUACAUGCAUGACUUAAGGUAUGGACACCCUACUAGAACGGUUGCUAGCUAGCACUGCACUGCCAUUAAACAGAGAAGGGGAGGAGAGGAAAACAAACAAAAAGCACCUUUUUUUGGGUUGCCUAGAUUUGUUAGCUUCUUGUUGCAGCGGUAUCUACUAGGGAGUACUAGGAUGGCAUAGAAUAGAAGAAGUGGAGGUGCCUGCCUGCUGAAACCGUUCUUUCCUCUGAACAACUCAUCUCAUCUUUUUGAUCGUGAAGUGUUUCAGCUACUAAUAAGCUAGCUAGGCUAGGGAAGGAGAAGCUAGCGAUGGCUGCAGAGGUCGGAGAGCAUCUUCCUGCCCUCGACGAUCUCGUCGAAGAAGUCAUCGAGCUCAGCGAUGACGGCCUCGGCGCCUGAUCGCAGCAUCCCAACCCAGCCAUUGAUGAUCUCUGCUCUCUGGACAAGGCUGUCGCUGAUGUCGUCGCGGUAGCCGCCCAUGGCGACUGCCCUGUCGAAGUCCUGCUUGAGGCCGUCGAUGGCGGCCCUGGCCUGGCGGAACUCGUGCAUCAUGAUCCCGGCCGAGUGCGAGCGGUGGUCCCCAGCGAUGAUGCAUUCCUCCAUCUCCUCGACGACGCGCUGGCGCAGGCGGGCGAUGGAGGCGACGUAGCCGCCGCCCGCCGAGGCGCGGAGCUGGUGGUGGUUGGCAGACGCAGAGCAGCAGCCGGCUGUGAGGUCGGGGAGGCAGGUGACGGUGCCGGAGAUGAGGAGGAUCAGGAGGAAGGAGGUGGCAUUGCGCAGCGCGUAGAGGACGCCGCGGAAGCCGUUGAAGGCGUUGAGCUUGAACUCGAGCGGGGAGCGGUCGUCGAGCAGGAGCGAGGCCGGGUCGAGCCUGGCGUCGGCGAGCGCGCGGUUGUCCUGGUG
rnacentral:lncRNA from 1 species